UACGAAGGUGGCAAGCGUUGUUCGGAUUUACUGGGCGUAAAGGGAGCGUAGGUGGUUAGGUAAGCCCUCCGGGAAAUCUUCAGGCUUAACCUGAAAAGGUCGGGGGGGACUGCCUAGCUAGAGGGCGGGAGAGGAGCGCGGAAUUCCCGGUGUAGCGGUGAAAUGCGUAGAUAUCGGAAGGAACACCAGUGGCGAAAGCGGCUUCCUGGUCCAGCACCGACGUUCAGGCACGAAAGCGUGGGGAGCAAACAGG
rnacentral:rRNA from 1 species